GGCGGCGUAGCCAAGUGGGAAGGCAGAGGUCUGCAAAACCUCUACUCAGCGGUUCGAAUCCGCUCGCCGCCUCCA
rnacentral:tRNA from 1 species